rnacentral:misc_RNA from 1 species
GGCGUAAUGUUUUGAUCUUGAAGAAUUCACUUAUUCAAUCCACAAGAAUAGUAUCUUCUACACAAUCACAAAAUACCCAUUUGAGCUCUUUCCAUUCGACCUCAAUAUGCUUUGAGAAAUGGAAAAAUAAGUGGAAUUCUGAUUUUAGAGGAAGUCAGCAGCCAACUAAGAAUUAUAUCAGAUAUGAAACACGUCAAAAGCGUGCUGACUCAAAAAAAGCUUUGAAAAAUCUUCUCUUUUAUGGGGCAUCUGGAAACUCUUUUGAGAAUGAAUCUUCAACAAUAAAUGAUAGAUGGGAUAUGGAUCGGGAUGAUCGUUCAGAGAAGAAAAGUGAAUAUAAGUCCGCUGCUCGUCUUAGAGAUCGCUCAAGGAGAAGGAUGCGAAAAAUGAAGAAACGGAGAUUAUAUGAAGAAUUCGAUGAAUAUCCUGAAUCAGUAUUCGAAGCAACUUUUGGUGAUAAG